AGAUCACUUGUUUUCAGUUUCUACUUUCCUUCGUGCGUCUCUACCUUGGCCUCCUCUCCUGUCCGUCUCUUCACUUUCAAAGGGUGGAACCCUAGCCUAAAUCUCCUCAAGGAAAGGGAUAAACAUAGCCGGGAGUCCUCCUCCAUUACUUCGGAUCACACACUUCCAUUUCUUUGUUUUGAUACUUAAAUUCGCACCUUGAGAAGAAGAAGAGCAAGUCAGGUGUAAGGUUCAACUUGCUGCACUUCCAGAAUAUUGAGCAGACCACUCUCACCUCCAGCUCAAAGAUGACUCAUCCAUCAAAUUCCAUCUCAGCAGCCAAGCUUCCAGAAGGUUCAGGAGUCACGUAGAGUAAUAGGUUGGCUGUGUGCUGAUUCGGUUAUGAUGAAAAUAUUGUGUAGUGCUCUAGCGAGGUGUCUGUUGUAACAAGCUCUGCAAUAUUCUCUGUACAGCAGCGUGCAUACCAGCCGCUUGCUAUUUUGCCUACAACGAUUCUGUACAGCCGUGUAUUUAAACACUACUUGUAUUAUUUUGAAAAUUAAUGAGAAUCAAAUAUUCAUUUUCUUAAAA